UCAAGCGAUAGGUAAGGGCAUUUGGUGAAUGCCUUGGCACUCAGAGGCGAAGAAGGACGUAAUACACUGCGAAAAGUCACGGGGAGUUGUGAAUAAGCAUUGAUCCGUGAAUGUCCGAAUGGGGAAACCCACAGAGCAAUCUGUAUCGUAACAUGAAUACAUAGUGUUGCGAAGCGAACGCAGGGAACUGAAACAUCUAAGUACCUGUAGGAAAGGAAAUCAACCGAGACUCCGAAAGUAGUGGCGAGCGAAAUCGGACCAGCCGAUGGAUUUGAUUGUAAGAACUAGAACAGCGUGGGAAAGCUGACCGAAGAUGGUGAUAGUCCAGUAUAGGUAGAAAGCAAUUAAGUUCUUGAGUAGGGCGGAGCACGAGAAAUUCUGUCUGAAAAUGGGGAGACCACUCUCCAAGGCUAAGUACUACUGAGUGACCGAUAGUGAACAAGUACCGUGAGGGAAAGGUGAAAAGCACCCCUAUAAGGGGAGUGAAAAAGAACCUGAAACCGGAUGCCUACAAGCAGUCGGAGGAGCAUUAGGCUCUGACGGCGUACCUUUUGUAUAAUGGGUCAGCGACUUAAUUUAUGUAGCAAGCUUAAGCCGAUAGGUGUAGGCGCAGCGAAAGCGAGUGUUAAUAGCGCGUUAAGUUACAUGGAUUAGACCCGAAACCGAGUGAUCUAGCCAUGAUCAGGUUGAAGGUUGGGUAACACCAACUGGAGGACCGAACCCACUCCCGUUGAAAAGGUAGGGGAUGAAUUGUGGCUAGGGGUGAAAGGCCAAUCAAACUCGGAAAUAGCUGGUUCUCCGCGAAAACUAUUUAGGUAGUGCGGCAAGCGGACACGUUGAGGGGUAGAGCACUGAAAGAGCUAAGGGGGAGCGAUCCUUACUAAACUUUAUCAAACUCCGAAUACUCAACAGUGAUACUUGCCAGACAGACUGUAGGUGCUAAGGUCUACGGUCGAGAGGGAAAGAGCCCAGACCGCCAAUUAAGGUCCCAAAAUUAUGGCUAAGUGGUAAAGGAAGUGAAUUGUCCAAAACAGUCAGGAGGUUGGCUUAGAAGCAGCCAUCCUUUAAAGAAAGCGUAAUAGCUCACUGAUCUAAACAAGACGAUUUGCGCCGAAGAUGUAACGGGGCUAAAGCCAUAUACCGAAGUUGCGGAAUUGCACGUAAGUGCAAUUGGUAGCGGAGCGUUCUGUAAGCCUGCGAAGGUGUUCCGUAAGGAAUGCUGGAGGUAUCAGAAGUGAGAAUGCUGACAUGAGUAGCGAAAAGAAGUGUGAGAGACACUUCCGCUGAAAGUCCAAGGUUUCCUGCGUAAAGCUAAUCUGCGCAGGGUUAGUCGGCCCCUAAGGCGAGGCAGAGAUGCGUAGUCGAUGGGAAUCAGGUUAAUAUUCCUGAACCAACUAGGAAGUGACGGAUUCAGUAAAUUGUAUGUCCUUAUUGGAUUGGAUGUGCAGUGAAUGAGUCCCGGGAAAUAGCCCUAGUAUAGACCGUACCCGAAACCGACACAGGUGGACAGGUAGAGAAUACCAAAGCGCUUGAGAGAACUAUGUUGAAGGAACUAGGCAAAAUACUUGCGUAACUUCGGGAUAAGCAAGCCCCAUUUCUGGGCAACCAGAGGUGGGGGGCACAUACUAGGGGGUAGCGACUGUUUACUAAAAACACAGGGCUCUGCUAAAUUGAAAGAUGAAGUAUAGGGUCUGACGCCUGCCCGGUGCUGGAAGGUUAAGGAGAGAUGUGCAAGCAUUGAACUGAAGCCCCAGUAAACGGCGGCCGUAACUAUAACGGUCCUAAGGUAGCGAAAUUCCUUGUCGGGUAAGUUCCGACCUGCACGAAUGGCGUA
rnacentral:rRNA from 1 species